rnacentral:lncRNA from 1 species
GAGUCAAGCCUUAAAAAGAAAAGCAAGCUAAGCUUCUUUUUCUUGCGGAAAAGGGCCAGGCAAGGCUCUGAAAGACUAUCUGGAGUAUCCUGUGGUACCAAUGCAAUGUGUCCAAUCCAAGGGAAUGAGGAGAAGGGAAUUCGCUCUUGAUAAGCCCCCCUUCGUGUCCAAUCCGUAGUGACAUGAUAGCACUUUUAACAAGGUGGGAAGUCAGUUGCAGAUUGAUGCCGAGCUAAGCUUCGAACGCUCCUUUAACGCAAUCCAGUAAGGGUAGCUC